GAUGAACGCUGGCGGCGUGCUUAAUACAUGCAAGUCGAACGAGGGCAUCCACGUAGCAAUACGAGGGUGUUCCUAGUGGCGAACGGGUGCGUAACACGUAGGCGACCUGCCCCGAAGUGUGGGAUAACACCGCGAAAGCGGUGCUAAUACCGCAUGAUCUCCCCGAGGUCAGAGGCUCGGUGAGCAAAGGCGAAAGCCGCUUUGGGAGGGGCCUGCGGCCCAUCAGCUAGUUGGUAGGGUAACGGCCUACCAAGGCAGCGACGGGUAGGGGGCCUGAGAGGGUGGCCCCCCACACUGGCACUGAAAUACGGGCCAGACACCUACGGGUGGCAGCGGUAGGGAAUAUUGGACAAUGGGCGAAAGCCUGAUCCAGCAACGCCGCGUGCGCGAUGAAGGCCUUCGGGUUGUAAAGCGCUUUUCGGGGGGAUGAGGAAGGACAGUACCCCCGGAAUAAGUCUCGGCUAACUACGUGCCAGCCGCCGCGGUAAUAC
rnacentral:rRNA from 1 species